GAUUUUAGCAAAUGGCCGCAAUAGAACAAAGAGUGGGUCUGAAUACUUUUUGUACCCACUGGAAGUCUUAUUUGUUUAACAGACCUGAUCAGCCUGACCUUGAGCUAAGAGUUACUUUGUGCUGGUUUGUUGCCGGGUGAAAUGUUUUUUUUUUCAAUAAUUGUCUCAUUUGUCAGUCUUAUUUCAAGGUGUACUAAGGAGACUGAAGUUUGUCCUGCAGUUUAUUCCUCUGGUGUGUUUGUGUGUUCAGUGUGAGAUCAGGAUCAUGUGUGUCCAGCUCUGUGUCUCUGAAGAGUGACUGGUCAAUGAAUCAUCCACCAUACCUCGGAGAGAAAACACCAUCAUCUGCCCAAAGGUAUUUAGUGUUUUACAUAGUUGCUCACACAUGGAUUGUACUGAACAAUUUUUGGAACCAACAGUUCAGUAAAGAGAGUCAUACCUGAAUGAAUCAGUUGUGUGAAUGAAUCAAUGACUUUGGUGUCUCAUUUACAUUGUAUUACAUGUAUUAUUACAGUAGUUUCACCUGUUAACAGUGUUGAAUAUGAGUCAGCAGAUUCAGGAGACGAGACUCACAGGAGACACAAGAGCUUCACAGACAAUCUCCAGUGGAUCUUCCAGAUUGUCUGGCUGUAUGGUGACAGAGGAAGGCUGUGGUUUUCUGUCUUCAGCUCUGACUUCAAACCCCUCACACCUGAGAGAGCUGGAUCUGAGCUACAAUCAUCCAGGAGAUUCAGGAGUCAAGCUGCUCUCUGAACAACUGGAGGAUCCAAACUACACACUGGACAAACUCAAGUAUGUGGAGCAGCACUGCCUUUUUUGUUGUGAAUACAGAUACUUUGAUACACUGUUAGACCUUACCGUUUUUUUACAGUAGAAUACUGGCAAAACUGUUGCCAGCUACCCACUU
rnacentral:lncRNA from 1 species